rnacentral:misc_RNA from 1 species
UCCCCGUUCUCCUGAUGGCAACAGAGAAUGAGGGUUGCGCUCGUUGCGGGACUUAACCCAACAUCUCACGACACGAGCUGACGACAGCCAUGCAGCACCUGUGCAUCUCACACCCGAAGUGAAGGAAAUCGUCUCUGAUUUCCAAAGAGAGCAUGUCAAACCCUGGUAAGGUUCUUCGCGUUGCCUCGAAUUAAACCACAUGUUCCACCGCUUGUGCGGGUCCCCGUCAAUUUCUUUGAGUUUUAAUCUUGCGACCGUACUCCCCAGGCGGGGUGCUUAACGCGUUAGCUGCGCUACUGAGAGGUAACCUCCCAACAGCUAGCACCCAUCGUUUACAGCGUGGACUAC